rnacentral:rRNA from 1 species
UGCGAGUCGAGAGGGUCGGCCCUCGGCAGACUGCUCAGUAACACGUGGAUAACCUAACCUUAGGUGGAAGAUAACCUCGGGAAACUGAGAAUAAUAUUCCAUAGAUCUAGGAUGCUGGAAUGCAUCUAGAUUGAAAGUUCCGACGCCUAAGGAUGGGUCUGCGGACUAUCAGGUUGUAGUCAGGGUAAAGACCUGACUAGCCUACGACGGAUACGGGUUGUGAGAGCAAUAGCCCGGAGACGAUAUCUGAGACACGAUAUCGGGCCCUACGGGGCGCAGCAGGCGCGAAAUCUUCACAAUGUGCGAAAGCACGAUGAGGGAAUCCCAAGUGCCAGCUCGUAAGAGUUGGCUGUUUUUCUGUCUAAAACACAGAGAGAGUAAGAGCUGGGUUAGACGGGUGCCAGCCGCCGCGGUAAUACCUGCAGCUCAAGUGGUGACCGUUAUUAUUGGGCCUAAAACGUUCGUAGCCGGUUUAGUAAAUGCCUGGGUAAAUCGUAUAGCUUAACUAUACGAAUUUCGGGUAGACUGCUAAGCUUGAGACCGGGAGAGGCUAGAGGUACUCCUGGGGUAGGGGUGAAACCCUGUAAUCCCGGGAGGACCACCAGUGGCGAAGGCUGUUGACUAGAACGCGCUCGACGGUGAGGGACGAAAGCUGGGGGAGCGAACCGGAUUAGAUACCCGGGUAGUCCCAGCCGUAAACGAUGCGGGCUAGGUGUUGGGGUGGCUACGUG